rnacentral:rRNA from 1 species
UACAGAGGGUGCAAGCGUUAAUCGGAGUUACUGGGCGUAAAGGGCGCGUAGGCGGUCCUACAAGUGAGAUGUGAAAUCCCCGGGCUUAACCUGGGAACUGCAUCUUAUACUGUAGGGCUGGAGUACUGUAGAGGAUAGUGGAAUUUCCGGUGUAGCGGUGAAAUGCGUAGAGAUCGGAAGGAACGCCAGUGGCGAAAAGCGGCUUCCUGGUCCAGCACCGACGUUCAGGCACGAAAGCGUGGGGAGCAAACAGG